rnacentral:rRNA from 1 species
UACGAAGGGGGCUAGCGUUGCUCGGAAUCACUGGGCGUAAAGGGUGCGUAGGCGGGUCUUUAAGUCAGGGGUGAAAUCCUGGAGCUCAACUCCAGAACUGCCUUUGAUACUGAAGAUCUUGAGUUCGGGAGAGGUGAGUGGAACUGCGAGUGUAGAGGUGAAAUUCGUAGAUAUUCGCAAGAACACCAGUGGCGAAGGCGGCUCACUGGCCCGAGUACUGACGCUGAGGCACGAAAGCGUGGGGAGCAAAC